GAUGAACGCUGGCGGCGUGCCUAAUACAUGCAAGUCGAGCGAACGGACGAGAAGCUUGCUUCUCUGAUGUUAGCGGCGGACGGGUGAGUAACACGUGGAUAACCUACCUAUAAGACUGGGAUAACUUCGGGAAACCGGAGCUAAUACCGGAUAAUAUUUUGAACCGCAUGGUUCAAAAGUGAAAGACGGUCUUGCUGUCACUUAUAGAUGGAUCCGCGCUGCAUUAGCUAGUUGGUAAGGUAACGGCUUACCAAGGCAACGAUGCAUAGCCGACCUGAGAGGGUGAUCCGCCCCCCUGGAACUGAGACACGGUCCAGACUCCUACGGGAGGCAGCAGUAGGGAAUCUUCCGCAAUGGGCGAAAGCCUGACGGAGCAACGCCGCGUGAGUGAUGAAGGUCUUCGGAUCGUAAAACUCUGUUAUUAGGGAAGAACAUAUGUGUAAGUAACUGUGCACAUCUUGACGGUACCUAAUCAGAAAGCCACGGCUAACUACGUG
rnacentral:rRNA from 1 species